rnacentral:lncRNA from 1 species
GUGAUUUCUCCUCCCUGCUGUCUCAUAAAUGCCCUCUCUGGGGCUCCCCAGAAAGUCUUCAAGAACUACUUGAGGAGAGAAGUUCUUUACUCUACCCUGGAGCUCCAGGCAACCUCUGAGACCUCCUGUGAAUCUGCUCCACUCCAGAGAGAAAGGGUCUUCUGAUAUUACCAAGGCUGGUCUCGAACUUCUGUGCUCAAGUGAUUCUCCUGCCUCAGCCUCCUACAGUGUUAAGAUUGCAGGCGUCAGCCACCACGCCUGACCUCUAUUGAUUUUUGAGUGUAUCUCUAUGUAUUACUUUUUAGUGGCUACUCUAGAGAUACAAUGUAUGUAAUCUACUUUUUCACAGUCUACUUAGAGGUGAUAUUUUAUCACUUACGUUUACCUUCCCCAGUUUAUGUGACAGUCAUCAUAGAUAUUGCAUCUAUAUAAAUUAAAACCCCAUCACUAGUUAUCAUUUUUAUUUUCAAUAGUCAUAUACAUUUUAAAGAACAUAAAAGAAACAAAAAUAAAUUUUAUAUUUACCCAGA